GGCGUCGUGACAAAGGCUGCAGCUGCCUUUUCUUCUUCUUCUUUCAAAGAAGGGAGAAAAAUGACAUAAUGGCGUUCAUGCUCAGAAGGAGAAACAGUUAUUUACCCCCAAACUGCACAACAGCAAAACUGAAAUUUUCUAAAGACACAGAACUUAGCUCAUCAGUGAGCAUCGGUACAAACAGGAUUUGUUCACAGUGGCUAAGUUCAGUGUCUGACAUGAAAAAAAUCAUCUCCUGCAUACCUGAAGGUCCCAGCUGUCCAUAAAUCCCAAAGCUGAGGAGAGACGGACGGCCGUCAUUAAAAGCACCUGUACUGUAAAGAGAAGAGGAAUGCUGUAAAAGUCUUUACAUGUCCAGGCAAAUUAUGUAGCAGUCGGCUUCUUCUGAUUUAUGAGGAGAAAAAGAUGAAGAUUCAGGCAGUGAUGGAGAGCAAAAGGUUAAAUCAGGGUGAUUCGUGAGUGAUUGUUGUUGUUUUUUUUAUCACACUAAAGAUAAUUUUAAAUGGGCAUAACUGACUCGCUGUGUCGAAUGUAAAGACAGAGAUGAUGUAAGCUAAUAAAAAAAAAAGCAAUUUUUGCAGAGUUUAAAAUAGAGCAAGUGCUUGUUACUGUCUAUGCUUUCAAUUAUUUUGGGAAUUGGUGACACUGAGCUGCGUUUGGGUUGUUUACUCGUGUGCCUACUGAACUGGAAUCAGUGUGUCUUUUCAGAACUGGCUCAGUCCAGCAGGAACAAGAGUGACACCUAAUGAGUCUGUCACUUCCUCCAUCAAAGCCAUCACCACUAACACACCAGAGACGACCACGAACAUUUGUAUUCAUUUUAAAGAGUCUAUGAUGACCCAAUGAAAUACAGAGUUCACUCCUCUGCCCUAAUUUGUCCUCCUGUGUGGGCGAAUCUCGCCGCCUCUGCAGGUAGUAGUUAUCAUCGGCAGCUGAUUUCUGCUGAGUAACACUUUGCAUCGCCUCUCUUCAUUCGUCAUGCUAUAAUAAGCUGUCAGUGUGUCUGCGAGCGUCUUCACUAAAUUGGGAUGCAACAGCUCGACACCUCUGCAGUCAUUAAAUACCCGAAUGGAUCGGUGCUGCAUUAGCAUAAGCAGAAGUGAUGAUCAUAAGGCGUGCUAUUGAUUUUAGACAACCUGGAGGGUUGAGGCUGCUGUGUGAACAAUUACUCCUCACCUUGAGCCAUGUUCCUGCGGAUAAAAUCUGAAGACUGCUUCUGAAGGAAACACAAGCUCUUUACAGUGAAAUGUUUAUUAAAAAUGUAAUCUAAUAUGCCUGAA